rnacentral:rRNA from 1 species
UACGUAGGGUGCAAGCGUUGUCCGGAAUUAUUGGGCGUAAAGAGCUCGUAGGCGGCCUGUCGCGUCGGUUGUGAAAGCCCGGGGCUCAACCCCGGGUCUGCAGUCGAUACGGGCAGGCUAGAGUUCGGUAGGGGAGAUCGGAAUUCCUGGUGUAGCGGUGAAAUGCGCAGAUAUCAGGAGGAACACCGGUGGCGAAGGCGGGUCUCUGGGCAGUAACUGACGCUGAGGAGCGAAAGCGUGGGGAGCGAACAGG